rnacentral:rRNA from 1 species
CAUCGGGAGCUACCAUGCAGCCGAGCGGUAGAGAUUCUUCGGAAUCUUGAGAGCGGCGUACGGGUGCGGAACACGUGUGCAACCUGCCUUUAUCAAGGGGAUAGCCUUUCGAAAGGAAGAUUAAUACCCUAUAAUAUAUGAUUCGGCAUCGGAUUAUAUUGAAAACUACGGUGGAUAAAGAUGGGCACGCGCAAGAUUAGCUAGUUGGUGAGGUAACGGCUCACCAAGGCGACGAUCUUUAGGGGGCCUGAGAGGGUGAUCCCCCACACUGGUACUGAGACACGGACCAGACUCCUACGGGAGGCAGCAGUGAGGAAUAUUGGACAAUGGGUGGAAGCCUGAUCCAGCCAUCCCGCGUGUAGGAAGACGGCCCUAUGGGUUGUAAACUACUUUUAUCUGGGGAUAAACCUACUUACGUGUAAGUAGCUGAAGGUACCAGAUGAAUAAGCACCGGCUAACUCCGUGCCAGAGC